UCCACAAAUUUUAUCUCUUGUUAUUUCCGCCUCUCUCUCACACCAGAAAACCCUUUUCCUCUUUCUGCCUUUCUCGUAGUCUUGCAUCUCUCUCACACUCGCUCGUCGUGCCGCACAGAUCUUCCCACCUCGCCUUCUCCGGCAACAGCUGUAGUACGGUACGUCUCCUUUUUUCAUCGCCCCAUCCGCCUCGCCUCUCACUCGCCGCCACCGUCUUCUCCGCUAACAGCCGCAAAAGGGAAAAUCAGCAGUAGCGUUGCAAGCCUCGAGAAGUUUGCCUCUACAGUUGCAUCAGUCCGCCUCUCUGACCUCCGCGGCUCUGUGUGAGUGCCUUCGUCCGACUUUCACAACUACAGCCAAAUAACUCAAUUAGGGCUUCGAAUUUCCCCUUUUUUCUUCUCGUUCUUCUCUAUUCACGAUUUUUGAAUUUUGUUGUAUUUAUCUGCUAUUCAAAAUGUACCUAUUUAUGGGUAGGUGAAUCUUGAAUUUUUCUUUUUUAUUUUGUUUAAAAGGAGGUUUCUUGGUAUAAUCCGAUUUGAAAACUUAAGUUCGUUCAAAGUUUUGGAGAAAGGUUGAAUGGUUUUCUUUUGCAGGGAUGAUGGGUUUGGUUUCUGAAAAUUGAGAAAAUUUUGAAGAACUCUCGACAACUGCCACAGUUUUUGUAAGCGUUUCAGUUUUUACAACUAUCAUAUUCAAUUUUAGCGGAAAAAAUUUGUGUUUUAGCGGGAAUAAGUUACCGUUUAAUUGGUCUUUUAUAUAGUAUAUAGAUUUGAAAGUAUAUAAAGACUAGUCACUCUUA
rnacentral:lncRNA from 1 species